AUGACCGCCCGCAUUUGCACAUCAAUGAUGCCUAAUCGGGGGUUAAUUGGUGCUGAAUUUGCUGAAGCUGGGAAUAGAAGCAGGGAGACUGAGUGCAUUUUUACCACUGGACAAAGACUGAUUAUGUUUAUACAAGAAUAAUAAGAACCUAGAUUUGAUUGACAGCACUGCACACCCAUCUGAGGCCUACUUGUUUUACUUUGUGAUUACCCCAGAUAUUUCUACAACUAACCUGCAAUGUAAGUUCUCAUAGUUACACCUUAGAGAACACAUGAAUGUGGGGAAAACAAGUUAAUAGAAAAGUUAACAGAAAAAUUAAAAGAAAUAUC
rnacentral:lncRNA from 12 species